UUGAACGCUGGCGGCAUGCCUUACACAUGCAAGUCGAACGGCAGCACGGGGGCAACCCUGGUGGCGAGUGGCGAACGGGUGAGUAAUGCAUCGGAACGUGCCCUGAAGUGGGGGAUAACGUAGCGAAAGUUACGCUAAUACCGCAUAUUCUGUGAGCAGGAAAGCGGGGGAUCGCAAGACCUCGCGCGUUUGGAGCGGCCGAUAUCUGAUUAGCUAGAUGGUGAGGUAAAGGCUCACCAUGGCGACGAUCAGUAGCUGGUCUGAGAGGAUGAUCAGCCACACUGGAACUGAGACACGGUCCAGACUCCUACGGGAGGCAGCAGUGGGGAAUUUUGGACAAUGGGCGAAAGCCUGAUCCAGCCAUUCCGCGUGAGUGAAGAAGGCCUUCGGGUUGUAAAGCUCUUUCGGCAGGAACGAAACGGCGGGGUCUAAUACACCUCGUUAAUGACGGUACCUGAAGAAGAAGCACCGGCUAACUACGU
rnacentral:rRNA from 1 species